CUAUCCUCUGACCUUCAGCUUUGUAAGUCAUACAUUCAGUAACAGUUAAAGCAAACCACCAGCAAGUAGCAGCAGAUGGGUCGCAAGUUUGAGCAUUUUCUGAUUCGAUUGAUGUAUUUUUUCCAGUUAUACAAAAUGUAUGUGUGUUUCAGGAAAUCAUCAAACAUAAUACUGGCAAAUGUCUUCACUGAAGCUGUUAUACGUCUUGACGAUUUUGAAGUGGGUCUUUCAGUCUUUGAAUAGUGUAACAUUUAAUCAGAGGUGCAGUCUUAGCAACCUGCAGGGUUCCUUGGACACCGGACAGAAAUGGAGCCAGAUUGAGGGGAUGAGCCUUAUAUCAGUUGCUAGGCAAUUAUAUAGUAAUUUAUUGAUCCAAGUAAUCCAACUACAGCUGUUCUAACUAAAUCUAGCAUGGAAGUAUGUGAUGUGUUUGCAACUGAAACUAAUUUAGCAUCUGUAGAACAAAUAGCAUAUUUUUGUGCACUAUUUGUCGAUUGCUGCAUCAAAUCAGAAGGUCUACAUCAUCGAGCCCAAUUUGAAAACAGAUAAAACAAUGUGUAGCAAUCAUAUAUUUUAUUAUAGAAUGGUCAUAAUUAAUAUGUUAGUUUUCUUCCUUUUGCGAAUGGGUGGUCCUAUUGAAUUUUGUUCAUCAUAUAUGGUUAAUUUGUGCAGCUAAAAUGCUGGUGACUCAUGGAAAAUACUAUGCAUGGUGCGGCUGAUCAAAGGCAGAGACAAAGAGUUUGUCCAUCAGUUCUAUGGAAAGACUAUGACCAGUUGGAGCCCAUACUCGAUUGUAGCGAUGAGAUGGAAUUUUUAGGCAAUCAUCCGAGUGUCACCCCUGCUAAUGUGUAUGUGGCAUCAUGUGAUGAGUUGAUGAAUA